CGUCUGCUCGAUUUGCUGCUCUUCCUUGAUCUGGUUUGUAUUGUUUCAUCUGGUAUUGGAUUUGUUGUUUGUUGUCUUGGGCUGGGUUCAGUAUGGUGUUUCUCGAGCAACGAAGUCAUUGGAUUGGGCUCUGGUUUUUGUAGAGAUGCCGCUUUCGUGCUUCAAUUGUUGUGGAGGGCACCGUGCACUACAGAGGAUGAGAGUGGCAGAUUUUUGUGGACUGAUGCUUCCCUUCAAGUUUAACUUACUGCUUCAAUUGCCAACUUUGACAGGAGGAGAUUGAUCGGUGCACCCACCGCAUAGAGCCGAAGGAAGUGUGUCAAUCCAGCAAUACAUGGAGCCGGCCAGCAACCAGCGACGCAGCCACCAUUGUCUUACCUGCUCUAAGCACACAGUCAAUUUUGUUUCAGAUGGAAUGCAUUCAGCAUACAUGGUGGAAGAGAGCUUCCCCCAGGCCCUCACUACUGAACAAGCACGCCCACAGCAAGGACAUGGAGAUCUUCAUCACAGGGGAAAGUGGUAAUUCCAACAUCGAGGGAGUUUGACUCCAGUAAUGCAUGUUAUGGUGGAACAACUUCCCUCUUGAAUUGGUGUGACUUCGGUCCAAAGUCCAUGCUGGGAUGAACGUUACGGCCUUGUAGUCUGCACAGAUAGCACGGUUUAUGCAGAGGGACCAGCUCGGCCUGGUGGAGCUGCUGCAGUUGCUAGGCUUAUUGGUCCAAAUGCACCUAUUUCUUUUAAAAGCAAAUAUAGAGCUUUUCACAUGACUCAUGUUUACGAUCUCUACAAGCCUCAUCUUGCAAGUGAAUAUCCGGUUAGGAUUCUAUCACCUAUUUUUGUUUGUUUGUUUUAGGCAUCUAAAUAAACAAAUUUCUCAAUGAGAUACCAUUUUUUGUCUAUUUAUAGUAUUAUAUCAUCUGUA